GUGUUCACAGCCUUCUGUUUUGGCAAUAAUGGUGUCAGAGAACAAACCUUGACACUUAACUUUUUCCUUACUAACUCAUACUCCAAUAUAAAUCAGUAGCACAGCGAGCUUUGGAUUCAUUAUGCAAACUGCUUCUGGCUCUCCACAAAUCCUUGCCCGAACGUAGGGGGGCAAGGAAUAAAAGGUCCUGCCUCCCCACACCGGCUAUCACUUGGGAGAAACUCUGUAAGGGAACCAUAGUCUUGAACUCUCUCUCACCACCACUAAAUCCACAGUAUUUUCAACACUGAUGUUUGUGGUCAGUCAAAUUUGACUAAGUGUGCAAAUUAGCUAAUUAAGUAACUUGCAUAAUACGCAACACAUGCAGUUGCAUAAAACUUAGCAGUUACGAUUAAAUGAAUUCUGUUCUACAACCCAGAGCUUAGAUAAGCCCCCAGCAACAAUUUUUCAGGGCCAAAAAAAAAAAAAAAAUUAAAAAAUCCACAAUUGCCAGCUGGAAUGUGUAUUUAAUUCAGCACUAGAUCAUAUAAUGGCUAAGAAAAA